rnacentral:rRNA from 1 species
UACGUAGGUGGCAAGCGUUGUCCGGAAUUAUUGGGCGUAAAGCGCGCGCAGGUGGUUUCUUAAGUCUGAUGUGAAAGCCCACGGCUCAACCGUGGAGGGUCAUUGGAAACUGGGGAACUUGAGUGCAGGAGAGAAGAGUGGAAUUCCACGUGUAGCGGUGAAAUGCGUAGAGAUGUGGAGGAACACCAGUGGCGAAGGCGACUCUGUGGUCUGUAACUGACGCUGAGGCGCGAAAGCGUGGGGAGCAAACAGG